rnacentral:lncRNA from 1 species
UUUUACUUUUGCCUUGAGCAUUGCAUUAUUUCCAAAUUUGAGUUUAGAAUUGAUUAAUGUGUCUCGGUUGGUCAAAAUAGUAUCCUUGCUCGUCAUGUAGUUGUUGCACGAGCUAUCAAUAUACCACGCAUCUUUCUUGUCUUUAGUGGCAACAUGACAGCAUUAGAAUAACUUCUCUUCAUCAUCAUUCUUCUCACAAAAAUUGCUUGGUGAUUAUUUUUGUUGCGAGAAUCCUUUUCUAAAUGUCCAAAUCAUCCACAAGAGUGACAGUGUGGCUUGCCACGGUUUCAACAAUCUUUCUUUAGAUGAUUUAUAUUUUUACAAAUGCUACAAAAAGGAUAUUUUCUCUUCGACUGGUUACCUCUUCUUCAAAAAUAUUAUUUUCUUCUAAAAAUUUCUCUUCUAGAAUUCUCCAUAAAUCUCUGGGCAUUAUAUCUAGAUUUCUGAAACCUUAGAUUAAUCUUAGACUGAAAAAAACUAUCGACAGAGUCUCCUACAUAGCUACUCAAUCUUUUUCAUGUGCUUCCAAAGAGCCCACUAGUUCAGCUACUGACAAGGUUGCUAAAUCUUGCGAUUGCUCUAUAGCAGUAACUAUAAAACUAACUAGAAUUUGUUCAACAACCCUUUAAUCAUAAAAUGUUUUUUCCUAGAGAUCUCAUUUGAUUUACUACUAGUUUAAUUCUUCCUUGAUAAUCUUUAAUAGUCUCAUAAUCUUUCAUUUAAAAGUUCUCUAAUUCCCUUCGUAGUAUUUGGAGUCUAAUGAUACGUACCUUAGAAUCACUAAGAAACUCCUCUUGCAAAAUAUCUCAAGCUUGCUUUGCUGUUGAAGCUUUAGUAAUCCUUGUUAAAAUUGUAUUAGCUAGUGACUAUUGAAUCAAAUAAAGAGCACUAGCAUCCUUUUGCUCUUUCACCUCUAACUCCUUCUAUUGUGCUUCUUCUAAAAUAGAGAUAUUUUCUAGGAUGUUUAAUCCCUUCACUACAGUAUCCCAAAGCUUUUGAGACUUGAAAAGUUUCAUCAUUUUUAUUUUCCACAAAUCAUAGUUGUUUCCAUGAAAAAUAAAAAGUGGCAUAGAGAUAGAUUUUGAUGAAUUUGUGGCGGCUAUAAUGAACCCUAAUGCCCACUUAUGAUCAAUUAUGCUUUGAUACCAUUGUUAGAAGAUGAUGGUAGUUUAGAGGUUUUAAUAAUUAAGGAUUGAAAUGAAAAUACUUUGAUAUUUAAGAUGCUUAGUUCUAAUGGUUUGGAAAAGGAGGACUUAAUUUAUAGUUUGAAAAUGAUUGAAAGAUGUUGACACACAAAGCAAAACUUUAUUAAUAGGAAGUACAACAUACUGGGCAUAAAGGUUUUAGUACUUAGAUUUAAGAUUAGUAUAGUUUUUUUUUUUUUUUUUUUUUUUUUGAUAAGCAUACAAGAUAAAGCCAAGAUAUAGCAGAGAAAAGCAACCAAAAGGUCGCAAUACAAAAUUGGUACAUCAAAGUAAAAAAGGAAUCCAUCAACAUAUAAAGAUCGGACAACAUAAUAUCAAUCCGGCAAAACUAUAUCUAUCUCCAGAAUCACAACAGCCAACAUCUUCAAAAGAGAUUAACAUAGUUGUUUUGGCUUGGUUUACAAAUAAUGGUUGUAUGGUUAUUUAUAGCCUUCUUAACCAAUCUAAAUGGAACAAUCUGGAUAAAAU